GUCCAGGGAUGGGAAUCGAACCCACAGUGUUCCGCCUGCAGACUUGGAUCUUCGGGUCCGGUCUUAAGGACGAAGCCCUGACCAUCCUCGCGUCGACAAAGUUACGGAUCUACCGCCACUUUGUUCAGGUUGGGCUCGGUGGAGUGGAGGACCCGCUCAUCGCCUGGAGGAGAACACUCGCGCGCCGAGGAUGCCUCCGCUCAUCCUCUAUUUAAUAACUUUUGAACAUAUUUUAAUAUUCCUAAUUAUUAUUAUAUUAUUUUACUAUUGAAACUCUCUUUGAGUUUAAAUAUUGACAAGAUGUUAAAAUCAAUAUUAAAAUAAAAACAUAAAGCUUCCAGGGAAAAGUUUCUUGGGGGAAACAAAAUAAAAGAAACUUUUCCCUGGAAGCUUUAUGUUUUUAUUUUAAUAUUAAUUCAAGGGAUUAUUUUAUUGAAUUGACAAGAUGUCAAUAAAAGUUGUUUUAAUUGUCAAUUGUCGCAGUGUUCCGCUUACAGGGCAAAUGCCAUGUCCACUAGGCUACCCUGGA